GAGAGAGAGAGAGAGAGAGAAAUAACAAAGUGCCUCUUUUCUGGACAGGCAGGGUGCUGGAGAACCAGUUCUGCCCGGUGAAGUAUAACCAUGGUAGCCUGGCAUGAUGCUGAGCCUCAUGCUUCAUUCAAUGUGCAGAAAAACCUAAGGAAUCGUGUCCCCAUUCACAGACGAAGACACCGAGACAAAGAGAGAUGCUGUCUAGAUCCACAUGCUUCACAACAGAGCCAGAACACAAACCCAGGCAGCCUGACAGUGGGAUUCUGAACAAGGGAAGGACCUUCAAGAAGCUAGGGACAAAGAAAAAGCAGAUGAGUCUCUGAUGCCCUCAGACGCACUGCCAUGCUUACAAGCCCUGAAUCUGUGCCAGACGGCCUACGAAUCUCACCUGGUUUCAUCCCGGGCGUCUAGGGCCCCUCCCUUGUCCUCACUGAUGACACUUUGCUUCAGCUCUGUGGGCCUGACCUUGGCCCCCUCUGGAGCCUCAGGGAUGGCUGCUGCCGGGAGAACUCAAGGUCCCACUUCUUCCAUCCAGGCUGAUCAGAAUUUGAAUCGCUGAGAGAGCUAACAGGGAGGCCAUACAACGACCCCAAGGAGAUCCUAGAGCUAAACUACUCCACAUUCUUGCUCAGGAGGAAAGUGAGCUGGCUGAAGAUUCAACUCAACAAACAGUUUCCGAAUUGAGGUCAUCAUUCUUUUAAUGGCCCCAUUGCUGGUCCUGCAGGGGAUUGUACAAGGUAGCAGGUCAAAGUAUGCUGCUGGAUUUUCCUUACUGUGUUUGUGGGUCCUCUUGGUAAGUGAAGCCAGUGGGGAAGGAUGCGCAGUGUGCCCCACGCAUGCCCACAGAUCUCCCGGGACGCCUGGGUAUCCAGAUCACUGGCACAGGGAUGUUAAAAAUGGGCCCCUCUGAAGCCACCUUGGAGAAACCUCUUCUGUAAGGGCUCUUUUGCCAGGGGGAUAAAUGAUAGGGAUGCUAUGGGCCUAUAAGGAGAAACCCAGAGUCCCUCAGCAAGGAACUAGAUCAGCAGAAUUCUCCAGAAGGGGGGAGAAACAGUCAAAAGGCUGUCUGUAGAGAAAGACAAGAUUGAUUAUAAGGAAUUAGUUCACAUGGUUGUGUAGGUGAAGUCCCACAGUCUUCAGGUUGAGCGGCAAGUUCAAAGGCCAUAAGGCAGUGUGGUAGUUUGAAUAAGAAAUGUCUCCGCAGACUUGGGCAUUUGUGUGUUUGGUCCCCAGUUGGUGGCACUGUUUGGGGAUGUUUCGGUGGUGCAGCCUUGCUGGAGGAAGUGCAUCCCUGGACACAGGCUUUGAGAUUCAAAGCCUGACACGACUUCCCAUUCCCUCUGUAUGCUUCACAAUUGCAUUUGAAGACGUGAGCUCUCAGCAUCCAGUUCCUGUUACCAUGCCUGCUUCUUGCUGUCAUGCUUCCUGCCAUGAUUGACUCAUCCCUCUGAAACCCUGAGUCCAAAUAAACUCUUCCUCCUAUAAAUUUCCUUGACCACGGUGUUUAAUCACAGCAAAAGAAAAGUGACAGUGAUGAGCAUAGGAAACACUCGUUCACUCCAGAAAAUAGCAGCCUUUUGUUCUGUGCAAUUGAUGGGUGAGGUCCACCCACGGCAAGGAAGAUCAUCUGCUCUUCUCUGCCUACCAAUUUAAAUAAUUAUCUCUCCAUAAACACACCUAGGAUAAUCCAGGCACCCCAUGGCCCAAUCAAGUACCCCAGGCCUCAAAAAAGAAGGGAAGAAAAGGUGGCCUCCAGGUCAGGAGGGAGAUUGGUGCUCACUCUGAGCUGGAGAAGAUGAAAACAGAGGUAACCUUGGGCUUGUGUAUCGGGGGGCGAGAGAGCUCUACUGUAUGAGUUCUUCCUAGGAGCCAUGAUGUGAAGGGCAGCCAGUUCUGUGGGGCCAGCAGUGCCCAGAACCAUUAGCAGGCCUGACAUUGGGCAAUGGUCUCACUUCCAAUACUGAGAUGGAAUGGGGCUACCCCCAUCUGUGAGGCCCCUUGAGACGAGGCCAUGUUUUUUCUGACCAUCUCCCCUGCUGAUUUCACUCUCACAGCUUUCUUGCUUAAGGUUGAGUCUGGAAUCUAUAAGU